rnacentral:rRNA from 1 species
AUUGCCUCAGUAACGGCGAGUGAAGCGGCAACAGCUCAAAUUUGAAAUCUGGCGGCCUCUGGGCCGUCCGAGUUGUAAUUUGAAGAGGAUGCUUUUGGCGAGGCGCCUUCCGAGUGCCCUGGAACGGGACGCCACAGAGGGUGAGAGCCCCGUAUGGUUGGACGCCGAGCCUCUGUAAAGCUCCUUCGACGAGUCGAGUAGUUUGGGAAUGCUGCUCAAAAUGGGAGGUAAACCCCUUCUAAAGCUAAAUACUGGCCAGAGACCGAUAGCGCACAAGUAGAGUGAUCGAAAGAUGAAAAGCACUUUGAAAAGAGAGUUAAAUAGCACGUGAAAUUGUUGAAAGGGAAGCGCUUGCGACCAGACUUGUGCCCGUCGAAUCAGCCGCCGCUCGCCGGCGGCGCACUUCGGCGGGCUCAGGCCAGCAUCAGUUCGCUGCAGGGGGAGAAAGGCGGCGGGAAUGUGGCUCUUCGGAGUGUUAUAGCCCGCCGCGCAAUACCCCUCGGCGGACUGAGGACCGCGCAUCUGCAAGGAUGCU